AAAUACUUACCGAAAUACUUACCCAUGAUCCGAUCAUCAAUAAAAAAUCGUUCACUUCCUGAAAACCACAAUCGCGAAUCCGCUCAAAGCCGGAGAAUAAACGCGCGCCAAAGAGAAUUGAAAAAACGGAAUGAAAUCGCGGAAGACUCGAAAUUGUCGAUUAAAUCUACCUAGUCCUAACUACGGUAGUUGCCGGAAUUCUUCUCUCCGUUAAAAUCAUUCCCAAACCCCCCAAAAUGUCAUUUAUUCUGGUAAUUCGAAGUACUACCAUUAAAGUACGGAUUAAAAUAUUGUUUUUGCUCGGGUCUUCCACAGCACCCGAGGUAACGGUCCGCGGAGACCAUAAACCCGUCGAAGAUGCUCGACGAAUCCCGGCGAAGAAGUCCGGUGCGAGCUCCAUAAAUUCUUCCGUCCGUGGGACCAGUUCGUAACGACGAACUGGCGAUUUACUUUAUCCCACACAGAACGGAUGGAUGGACGAUGAAAGUCCAGUCCAGAGGGCCCAGUCCCUAAAAUCAAAAUCAUCGAUGUAAAUUUCUUCAAAUCAGUCGCAGUAGAUUGAUUCACUACUUACCAUUCAUACACAUUCAUAGGUCCGGACCGCUGAAUGAAUGCACCCCGAGAUGCACUUGUGUACAUUCUGCACCUAGAAAUGCAUUAACACUUAGAAAAAAUUCAAUGUUUACAAAAUCAUUACUCACCUGGGCAAACCAAAUUAUUGCCUCCAGAAGUGAAACCUCUCCAUUCCGUUCGAUUCUGAAAACAGACAAGAGUAAACGUUGACCGGUAAAUAAUAAACGAAUCACGGUAAAUUUUAUGUAGGUACCUACCUUUUCGAGAGCUUUCUAUUCGCGGACACAAUAUUUUUGAUCACUAACCCGAAACGCGCGAAUAAUCGUAGAAAAACACUAGAGAAAGUUGAAAUCGCGAAUCAACAAUCUCGAGCCGAAAUGUAAACAUAAACAUUGCACCACAUGUGUGUUGGUGAUGACAGUUUUCAACACAGCAAAUAGUGUUGGUUGAGUACCUUUCUUCUCACGCGAGUGAGAAGGUUAAUAGCGUAUUCUUUCAAAUGGGCAUAAUUUUUAUUCGAUUCACCAAAUCAAUAAUUGAUGUUGGUUGAAAUUGAUGAAUGCCGUAAAUAAUUAAAUUACUUCAAAACGAAAUUCAUUCAUUUUGAAGGAGGGACGAUGGGGUAAUGUAACCGUUCGGUUCCAAUAUGGACUUGUUGGCUCCACCACAAGUGAAUUUCCGUCACCAAUCCCUCCCAUUACGACCUUUCCAAAGAUUACACCUCGGAACUGUCACACUCACUGGUCGAAGAUUUAUCUCACGAGUGAGUGCGUGUUCCACUUUCACGUCAUACCAAGUGUGACCAGAUGCGAUAGACGUUCGAGCAGUUUGAGUUCGGGCAAAAUACGCACAGCCCUGUUCCAUUUGAGCUUGCCUAUAGAGGGUGCUCAAUGCAACAGGAUGGGCAAACUAAAAACAUAGAACAUAAUUUAUGUAAAAAGGGACUAUAAAAGAGGCGGAAGGCGUAGAAUCUUUCUCUUUUGUAAAACCAGUGAUCCUUGAAAGAAGUAGUAGUGCGCGCGUGUGUAAAUAAUAGAAGGAUCUGUUAGUCGUUAAAAAUAGUUGUUGUAAUGGUAAAGUAGUACGGUUUUGUGUAAAUUAAAAGCUAUUAGUACGUUUAAAUCCUGUAAAACAACACAAGAACAAAAAAACGACAGUAACAAACAAAUUAAAAGUCACCGAGAAAAAGGUCCAUGCCAAAGGGACCUUUUUCUUUUGUACCUUUUUUCCAAGGUCUCGAGAGUGCAGUGCCACAGUGGUGAUUUCCGGGAAGAUUUGGCGAGUGCCCGUUGGCUGAGAUAAAGCAGCGUCAUCGCUGGCCGAAGUGUGGCCGCCAUCUUCCAACACCUAUACGGAAAAGCCACGUCAUCAACCUCGCAGGGCAACACUCGUUCCGUCCCUGGAAUGAUUUCCGGACUGAAGCGGCUCCGCAAAGAGCAUCAAGCCGGCCAGAUCAACGCUGAUCGGUCACAUCACCAGAAAACACCGAAUCCAACAAGCAUGCAAGUACCCCCGAAUGUGACGUCACAAAAUAAAUUGUAAAAUGUAUGAGCCAGGUGUAGCCAUCUUUAAGAAAGAGUAACCCUUGAUUUUAAGGUCUUUCACCAUUUUCUCUUGUGUCGUUUUCCCGGGUCCACAAAGGGACCACCAAGCCUCGUCUUUCUUGGAUCACUGUGAAUAGAUCCCCCCCCCCUUCGAGUAAUAGCUUUGCCCAUCCUACCG